rnacentral:rRNA from 1 species
ACAUGCAUAUAUCAUAGCGUUAAUGCAUUGUAUCCCAUUAGAACUCUGUAUUUAGGCGUGCUUGGGAGAGAGUAGUACUAGGAUGGGUGACUGCUCAGGAAUUCCUAGUGUUUUACAUGCC